AGUGAACGCUGGCGGCGUGCUUAAUACAUGCAAGUCGAACGAUGAAGUCCUAGCUUGCUAGGAUGGAUUAGUGGCGCACGGGUGAGUAAUAUAUAGUUAAUCUGCCUUGCACUGAGGAACAACAGUUGGAAACGAUUGCUAAUACCUCAUACUCCAACUUUACAUAAGUUAAGUUGGGAAAGUCUUUUCGGUGCAAGAUGAGACUAUAUCGUAUCAGCUAGUUGGUAAGGUAAUGGCUUACCAAGGCUAUGACGCGUAACUGGUCUGAGAGGAUGAUCAGUCACAUUGGAACUGAGACACGGUCCAAACUCCUACGGGAGGCAGCAGUAAGGAAUAUUGUGCAAUGGGGGAAACCCUGACGCAGCAACGCCGCGUGGAGGAUGACACUUUUCGGAGCGUAAACUCCUUUUGUUAGGGAAGUAUAAUGACGGUACCUAACGAAUAAGCACCGGCUAACUCCGUG
rnacentral:rRNA from 1 species